CCUGUUUAACAAAAACAWGUCUUUUUGAGUUAUUUUUAAAGUCUGACCUGCCCMCUGAAAUUUUUAAAUGGCCGCAGUAUCCUAACUGUGCAAAGGUAGCAUAAUCAUUAGUYUUUUAAUUGAAGGCUGGUAUGAACGGUUGGACGAGGUAUAAGCUGUUUCAUAUAAAUUUAUAAUAGAAUUUUAUAUUUUAGUCAAAAAGCUAAAAUAUUAUUAAAAGACGAGAAGACCCUAUAAAUCUUUAUAUUUUUUUUUAUUUAAAUUUUUUGGAUUUAUUUUAUUUUUAUAAUAGAAAAUAUUUUGUUGGGGUGAUGUUAAAAUUUAAUGAACUUUUAAUUAUAAAAAAUCAUUAAUUUAUGAGUUAUUGAUCCAUUAGUAGUGAUUAUAAGAUUAAGUUACUUUAGGGAUAACAGCGUAAUUUUUUUGGAGAGUUCAUAUCGAUAAAAAAGUUUGCGACCUCGAUGUUGG
rnacentral:rRNA from 1 species